GUAAUGCGUAGGAAGCUACCCGAUAGAGGGGGAUACCAGUUGGAAACGACUGUUAAUACCGCAUAAUGUCUACGGACCAAAGUGUGGGACCUUCGGGCCACAUGCUAUCGGAUGCGCCUACGUGGGAUUAGCUAGUUGGUGAGGUAAUGGCUCACCAAGGCGACGAUCUCUAGCUGGUUUGAGAGGAUGAUCAGCCACACUGGAACUGAGACACGGUCCAGACUCCUACGGGAGGCAGCAGUGGGGAAUAUUGGACAAUGGGCGCAAGCCUGAUCCAGCCAUGCCGCGUGUGUGAAGAAGGCCUUCGGGUUGUAAAGCACUUUCAGCGAGGAGGAAGGGGUGAGUGUUAAUAGUACUCACCUUUGACGUUACUCGCAGAAGAAGCACCGGCUAACUCUGUGCCAGCAGCCGCGGUAAUACAGAGGGUGCAAGCGUUAAUCGGAAUUACUGGGCGUAAAGCGCACGCAGGCGGUUGGUUAAGUCAGAUGUGAAAGCCCCGGGCUCAACCUGGGAAUUGCAUUUGAAACUGGCCAACUAGAGUAUGUGAGAGGGGGGUAGAAUUCCAAGUGUAGCGGUGAAAUGCGUAGAGAUUUGGAGGAAUACCAGUGGCGAAGGCGGCCCCCUGGCACAAUACUGACGCUCAGGUG
rnacentral:rRNA from 1 species